CAAAGGUAGCAUAAUCACUUGCCUAUUAAUUGUAGGCUAGAAUGAAAGGGUUAACGAAAUAAAAACUGUCUCAAUUAGCCACCUAAAAAUUAUUCUCUAUCCGAAGAAAGAUAGAUACCCUCGAAGGACAAGAAGACCCUAUAGAGCUUUAUUUUACUUAUAGAAUAUACUAUAAAAAUAUUCGGUUGGGGCGACCCAGGGCUAAAUAAUCACCCACUAUAUAAAAGAUAUAUAAAUCUAAUAAAUGACCCUAUAAAGAUCACAAAAACAAGCUACCUUAGGGAUAACAGGCUAAUCCCAUUCAAGAGUCCUUAUCAACAAUGGGGCUUGGCACCUCGAUGUUGGCUUAGGGUAUCUAUAUAGCGCAAAAGUU
rnacentral:rRNA from 1 species